GUUUUCCAGUGCCUGGGAGAAGGCUGCUCCUGAGUUAAGCACACCCUUCGUGCAAGCUCUGGCUUAUACGUGCUGACAGGGUGCACGGUCCCUGGGCAGAAGAGACUUGAUGACGUUAGGAGAGGCUGCUAGGAACCAUGGAGCUCAGAGACUGGAGAACGUUGAGACACAGAUAAACAGACAGAAACAAGACUAUUCUCUGAGCCAGCCAUUGAUCAGUUGAUACUUGGAAGUGUGUGCUUGAGGUCAGCUUAUUCUUUCAACUGAUGCUCAGCCAAAUAUUUUCCAAAGAUGGAGGAAUGAGGGUGGCAGCGGUGAUCAAAUAUGAGUGAAUGACUGGGAUUUUGACUGCUGUCUUCUAAUUGUUAAGAGACAACUGAUAUUCUAAUUACGUGUGC
rnacentral:lncRNA from 1 species